GUCCACGCCGUAAACGAUGAAUGCUGGUUGUUGGCCUUAAAGGCCAGUGACGACGCCAACGCGAUAAGCAUUCCGCCUGGGGAGUACGGCCGCAAGGCUGAAACUCAAAGGAAUUGACGGGGACCCCGCACAAGCAGCGGAGCAUGUGGUUUAAUUCGAAGCAACGCGAAGAACCUUACCAGGUUUUGACAUGGGAAGGACCGGGGUAGAGAUAUCCCUUCUCUUUGGAGCCUUCCACACAGGUGGUGCAUGGUUGUCGU
rnacentral:rRNA from 1 species